AGACGCACUCGUGCCAGCAGCCGCGGUGAUACGGAGGAUCCGAGCGUUAUCCGGAUUUAUUGGGUUUAAAGGGAGCGUAGGUGGACUGGUAAGUCAGUUGUGAAAGUUUGCGGCUCAACCGUAAAAUUGCAGUUGAUACUGUCAGUCUUGAGUACAGUAGAGGUGGGCGGAAUUCGUGGUGUAGCGGUGAAAUGCUUAGAUAUCACGAAGAACUCCGAUUGCGAAGGCAGCUCACUGGACUGCAACUGACACUGAUGCUCGAAAGUGUGGGUAUCAAACAGGAUUAGAUACCCUGGUAGUCCACACAGUAAACGAUGAAUACUCGCUGUUUGCGAUAUACAGUAAGCGGCCAAGCGAAAGCAUUAAGUAUUCCACCUGGGGAGUACGCCGGCAACGGUGAAACUUAAUGAAUUGGCGGG
rnacentral:rRNA from 1 species